CCAGACGGCCGGACGGUCGCUGCCGCGCCUGAGCUGCCCGCAAGGGUCGCGCCAGGCAAGGUGGAGGAAAGUCCGGGCUCCACGAAGGAACGGUGCCGGUUAACGACCGGCGGGGGCGACCCCAGGGAAAGUGCCACAGAAAACAAACCGCCUGCACGCCCGGGCAACCGGACCCGCCUGCAGGCAAGGGUGAAACGGUGCGGCAAGAGCGCACCGCGCUUCCGGCAACGGCGGCGGCAGGGCAAACCCCACCGGGAGCAAGACCGAAUAGGGGCGGCAGGGCGGGUUCGCGACCUUCGGGAAGCGGGCCACGUCCGGAGGUCUUUCGCCUCGCCGCCCGGGUUGGUCGCGCGAGGCACGCAGCGAUGCGUGUCCCAGAGGAAUGACCGUCUCGUGCCGCAAGGCACGGACAGAACCCGGCUUACAGGCCGUCUGGCACC
rnacentral:RNase_P_RNA from 1 species